AACGCACGAGACCUGCGGACCUGCGGAGGGAUCAUUAAUGAGAAACUGCCCCUCGCGGGUGGAUCUCCCACCCUUUGUAAACUUACCUUUGUUGCUUUGGCAGGCCCGUCUCCGGACCGCCGGCUUCGGCUGGCCAGUGCCUGCCAGAGGAUUCUAAAACUCUGUCUGUCAGUGUUGUCUGAGUCUAUAUACAAUCGUUAAAACUUUUAGCAAUGGAUCUCUAGAUCGGAAGAGCACACG
rnacentral:misc_RNA from 1 species